CCACUAAGUGAUGAUCAUAUCACCUCCUAUGUUCUUGCUGGGCUUGACCCUGAAUGUGAUUCCAUCGUUACCUCCAUCUCAACCCGAGUGGAACCUAUGUCCCUUGAUAUUGUCUAUGGUCAUCUCCUCACACAUGAAC